CAGUUUGGGCGGGUCUAACACAAAAAAGCAUUGGAUCCAUGAUAAGACAUCACAUAGCUGACAGCAGUGCUGCUCUGGUUCGUUACCACACUGGGAGUUACGUGUGAAACACAGGACUCACCCGACCUCCAGAUGGCGUCGGACCUGGCUGACAGAGCCAUAGGGGCCAUUAUCGGGGCGGCGGUGGCAGAUGCAGCAGACAACCCUGUUGCCGUGUCUCAUUAUAUUAUCAAGUCAGGAGGGACCAGCAUCUUCAAUGAGAAGCCCAGCCCCAUGCAUUGGAUCUACAACUUGGACAGCCUGAAGGAAGUGCUGUCAAAACUUGAGCCCUUUUCCAGAGUUUCGCGCUGAGUCAGCAAAUCCUUUCUACCGCAGGGAGACGGGGGGAGCAGACGUGCUACGGAGACCAGGCCUUCGUGUUGCUGGAGUCGCUGAGUCACUGUGGAGAUGUGAAUGCAGAGGACCUGACCCAGCGCACCUACAGCUUCUUUGGCCCAGGGACCGUGUUACGAUCUGCCACUCAACGACCCCUACAGACAGAAGGGAGGUCCCAAAGCCGAGCUCCCCAUAAACGGGCCUUGGCGGAAUGCAAGCCUGAAAUCUUUCAUCAGAAAUGUCGACGCCCGCAAAGAAAGAGUAGGAUGUGAGGUUGACUGUCAGAUGGACUGUGUCACCAAGAUAGCCCCUGUAGUGGCCAUGUUCGCCGGGCGCGCCCAGAUGCUAGACAAAGUGGAGAUGGCCGUGCGUGUCACACAGAAUAACGACAUCUGUGUUGCCAUGGCGCUGGCCGCAGCGAGGUUUGUGGAGCAUUUCAUCCUGAAUGGGCCGGAUCCUAAUGUGUUGGACGCAGUGCUGGGCCAGUUGAAGGACCCCGCGAGGCAGAACCCUCAGGAGUUGGAUAAGGCUGUUAUUGCUCACAUCAACCAGGUAAAGGGAAACCUAGCCAAGGAGAGCCAAGAGCUCAUCCCUGCUGUGUUCACCAACACAUGAGUUCUGCCCGAUGCCCUACAGGGGGCACUCCACGGGUUGCUGACCCACAGCCGGCUAGAAGAGGCGGUUAGGGACACUAUGCGCUGCGGGGGCUGCACUUCCAGCCGUGCCUCCUUCAUCGGUGCUUGUUUUGGCGCGCAGACUGGUGUGCAGGGGAUUCCUGAGUCAUGGAGGAACAGGACUUUCAGAUACCCACUGCUGAUCCAGCUGGCCAAUAAAGUGGUCAACUCCCAGCAAGACACGGCUUAGCUUGGAACCAGCAUCGAAGGAAAGAAGGAAGGAAGGAAGGAAGGAAGGAAGGAAGGAAGGAAGGAAGGAAGGAAGGAAGAAGGGAAGGGAGGGAGGGAGGGAGGGAGGGAGGGAGGAAGGAAAGAAAGAAAGAAAGAAAGAAAGAAAGAAAGAAAGAAAGAAAGAAAGAAAGAAAUUUAAAACGUAGCUAUUUUGCCAUCAAUUGGUUAAUACAUUAUACAUGUUUCCUUUGUGAAAGCUGAAGGUGUGGUAAGACUUUGGCAUGGCAAUACAUGACAGUUUCUUUCGAAAGUCGUAGACUGAAUGAAACUUGAGUAUUCCUUGACGCGUCAAAGUUGUACCUCUAACCUAGGAAAAGUAGUUGUUUAAAAGGUCAGAUCCUUGAACUGUAGCAAUAAGAAGAACCAUAAGCUCUUCUGAGGAAUAAAAAAAAGUCACAUAUUCAGCAUUUAUAGGUUUCUACAUUUGAUGAUUCUACAAUGUAUUGAUUCAGAGAUAAGAUGACACUUGUAAAAAAAGAUCUGAGAUAUAUCCUGAACUAACUUAAGCAAAUAAAACUUUCUAACCGGCUAGCUACAGGACUAUGCAAGACAAGAGCAAACCAGAACAACAUAUAAUUUUUGUAAUUUUGAAAGGAAUAAAAACAUUAGUCUGACCGACUGACCCCCACA